UGCCCGUUGGUCCAGCUGGCACGGAUGCCGGGCUCUGACCCCGGAGACCGAGGUUCGAUCCCUCGACGGGCAG
rnacentral:tRNA from 1 species